GAGGAUAUAGCUCAGUGGUAGAGCACGCACUUAACGUGCAUGAGGUCCUGGGUUCAAUCCCCAGUACCUCCA
rnacentral:tRNA from 1 species